UACGUAGGUGGCAAGCGUUGUCCGGAUUUACUGGGCGUAAAGAGCGCGCAGGCGGUCGUUCAAGUCGCGUGUGAAAGCCCCCGGCUCAACUGGGGGAGGGUCACUCGAUACUGCCGUUCUUGAGGAUUGCAGAGGAGACUGGAAUUCCCGGUGUAGCGGUGAAAUGUGUAGAGAUCGGGAGGAACACCGGUGGCGAAGGCGGGUCUCUGGGCAAUUCCUGACGCUGAGGAGCGAAAGCCAGGGGAGCAAACGGG
rnacentral:rRNA from 1 species